AUUUGGGUAUGUUCUUAGGAACAGUUCCCGUUUUCCGGUUUUCAUGACCUACACUUGCCAGUCAUAGUUCUUGGCUCAUAGCGGCUAGAGAGAGAGAAAGAGCAGAAAGUUCCCGUCGCCGACGUUAUGUUGGUCCGUAGGCUAGAGAGCCACCGUCACCGGCGGUGUUUGUCAGUCCAAGGGUUCCUAUGGCGUUCUCUAGUGGCAUAGCAACUGGAUUUUAGGGCACCGUUCGUCGGAGCUCAAGAUCAUCGCAUGCCUUCUGGAUUUUGGGGGUUUUCACUGUGGCCAGAAUGGUUGGUUGUUGCCGGCGUCGUUCAAGGGCACUUAUGGUGUCGAUGAUGGCUAGGGUUUCCUAUGCUGAGACUCUAACCGACUUUAAUGGGUGGUGAUUGCUUUUAUCUAUGAUUAUCAAUGACUAUGGGUGUCUUCAUCUGAGAUGUUCUUGAUUUGAAUUUUGAAACCGUGAGUUCGCUUAUGUGUUUACUUUGUUGGCUAGGAUUUCUGAAGACCACGUAUAUUGUAUAUAUAUAAAUUUGUGACUUGUAGAGUUCCUUUGAUAAUAUAGGAGCUACAUCAUUUGGUCUAUGAUUCUGUUUUUGGCAUUGAUUUUAUGCAACCAUUGUUUGGCGUUUUGGUUAUUGAGUUAGGUAAUGAUGAUUGCGCGGGUGUAAACCGAGAUGAGGAUUUAACCAUGGCGUGGCGUGGCAUGUUUGAGAGAUGGUAGAUAUUCAUUUGUAACCUCCAAUGCAGCCACAAUUAUCUCCUUCGUUUACACCCUCUGAGUCUAUCCAUUGGGCUGUAUUGAUGGUUGUACCCAUUGCUUAAAGUUUUGUUUAUGGUAAAGUUUUGAUGCUUGUACUCAUAUUUGUGAACCGUGGGUAUGUGAUAUCAGUAUUGUAUCUACUUCUGGGCUAUGAUGAUGCGUUUUUGUUUGAAGAAACUAAGAUUUUAGUGUUUAUUGGCGUGGCAUAUGAGGUCUUUAACCUCUUAGUGUGCAGCCAACACGCGUAAAUUCUGUUUCUUCAACAUGUCUGAGCCUAUAUAACUAUACUACUGCUGGUGUGCAACAUGUGAAGGACCACUUGACUCUUUAAUUGAAGAGAGCUUAUGUUCUUCUGGUAAUGAUGGUGUUGAGUGGUUAUGGACUAAGCACGGCGUCAGAGAGGGUUUUCGGCCGAGUUGAACUUCCGGCGACCAAACCUAGGGUUCCGGCAAAGUUCCGAUGAACCUCCACCAACCGGCGAACUUCCACUUCUUCGCGAACGGAAUGCAUCUGGUGAUUUGGGCUACCGAGCGCUUUCUACGGUCGCGGGCGGUGGGGUGACCUUUGGCCAUUGGGUUAACCAGAUGUAUAUGAAGGGGUAUGUCUUGAUGGUUUAUAGUGAUUACUUGAAGAAAAUGGUCGAGUAACACUCUGCCUUUACAGUCUGUUGUGUUUCAUCGGAGCAACAAAUCGUAGUACCCGCCGCAACGCCGCGGGGUGCUAUUUCUAGUUUGAUUAAAUUAAAGUAUGUAUAAAGAAAAGAAGAAUAUUCCACCCAAGUUGCAAUGGGUUAUUCUUAGAAGUCUCGAAAUAAUAUAUAACCUUUCUUUUAUUACA